rnacentral:lncRNA from 1 species
UAUAACCCUGUUGCUAUUCUUCUGUCCUAUACCGAUGUCCACAGCAAGUAACUCAGCUCCCCUGGCACUUCCUACCCCGUUUAUUCUUUCCUGCAUGAUCCAGGUUUAUCAUUCUACAUCCCAUCCCCUCUUCUUAAAGAAAAAAUGAUUGUGUGAAGGUCAUAAUAGCAUUUAUGUUUCCAGAAUGCACAGUUUAGGAGUCCAUUUUAAGCAUUUUCUAAAUCCAGUCAUAGUAGUAAUUAUUCUCUCAGGGCAAAGACUCCUAAUUCCCACUUUUUCCAAGGAGGAAAAGCAAGGUGCCGCACUCCUCGUGGUGAGUUUUUGAUAUUCUGAUAUUUUUUUUCUUUUCCAAUAAGCUU